GGGGCGCGGGAGAAGCAGGUAUCGGCGCGGGCUGCGCAGCCCCAGGCGCGAGAGCUGCGCUCACCGGCGGCGGAGGCAGAAGGACGGUCCCCGCGGGAGCCAGGGACCGCGGCGGCGUCCGAGCGGGCGGGGUUCGCGCCUGGCCGGGCACGGUCCGAAGUCCGCGCUAUGGGAGAAGAGAAAUACUUGCCUGAGCUGAUGGCAGAGAAGGAUAGUCUGGAUCCAUCUUUUGUGCACGCGUCGCGCCUUCUGGCAGAAGAAAUUGAGAAAUUUCAAGGUUCAGAUGGAAAAAAGGAAGACGAAGAAAAGAAGUAUCUUGAUGUCAUCAGCAACAAAAACAUAAAGCUUUCUGAAAGAGUAUUGAUUCCUGUUAAACAAUACCCAAAGUUCAACUUUGUUGGGAAAUUGCUUGGACCAAGAGGAAACUCCCUGAAGAGGCUACAGGAAGAUACAGGUGCUAAGAUGUCUAUCCUGGGCAAAGGAUCGAUGCGUGAUAAAGCAAAGGAAGAAGAGCUGAGGAAGAGCGGGGAGGCCAAGUAUGCACACCUGAGUGAUGAGCUGCAUGUAUUAAUUGAAGUGUUUGCUCCACCUGGGGAGGCUUAUUCACGGAUGAGUCACGCCUUGGAAGAGAUUAAAAAAUUCCUGGUUCCUGACUACAAUGAUGAAAUUCGCCAAGAACAACUCCGGGAGUUGUCUUACUUAAAUGGCUCAGAAGAGUCUGGCCGUGGCCGAGGUCUUAGAGGCAGAGGAAUCAGAAUAACUCCCAUAGCUCCUUCAAGGGGCCGUGGGGGUGCUGUUCCUCCACCACCACCACCUGGACGAGGAGUUCUUACCCCUAGGGGGACCACUGUGACCCGUGGAGCUCUUCCAGUGCCACCAAUAGCGAGAGGUGUCACUACUCCUCGUGCCCGGGGGACAGCGGCAGUACCAGGAUACAGAGCACCCCCACCUCCAGCCCACGAGGCUUAUGAAGAAUAUGGGUACGAUGAUGGUUAUGGGGGUGAAUAUGAUGACCAGACCUAUGAGGCUUACGAUAAUAGCUACAUAACCCCAACACAAAGUGUGCCUGAAUACUAUGACUAUGGUCAUGGAGUAAAUGACGAUGCCUAUGACAGCUACGCAACAGAAGAAUGGGCCACAACUCGUUCCAGCCUGAAGGCACCACCACCAAGGUCAGCCAGAGGGGGAUACAGGGAACACCCCUAUGGUAGAUAUUGAAGGUCCUCUUCAUCUGUGACCUCCUCAAAGACAGUUCAUAGCCUCUGGUCUCCACACAAACAGCAACAAGACAAGUACGCACAAAGAGCACUUAAAUGGUAGCAGAUGUGAUGGGCUAAGGAGGAUAAAGGACUUCAUUCCUUUGUAUGGCUGAAUAGUAUUCUACUAUGCAUAUGGACUAUAUUUACCUCAUCCGUUCAUCAGUUGAUAGUCAUUUUGGUAACUCCAUGCCUUGACUACUGUGAAUAGAGCUUCGAUGAACAUAGGAAUGAAGACUAAAGAAGUUAAUUUGGCCCAGGACUGAAAUAUUGCAUCAUAAAGGAGAUGAGAUGGGAUGGAAUAGUCAGAUAUGGACAAACAGUAAAACAAUGACACAUCUAACCUUCAUGCUGCCAUGGUUACCAUGUACAGGACAUCAUAAUGGAAGCUAAGUGCGAAGUGUAAAAGUCUGUAAAUCAGGUCCCCACCUCCAGGGCUGCAGAAUCUGGAGGAAAAGUAAAGAUUAAAGUGCACAGAGAACAAUACUUAUUUUCAUUAUGGAAAUAUUCAAAUGGCAACUGAGCUAUCCAAUUCAUCAAAGAAAUUAUAUGUUGAACAUGACACAGAUUUAUUGAUGCUGCCAGAAGUCCAGUGAAAACUGAGGAUCAAAUCCCUUGCAGUUUGAACCACUGGAUUAGAAGGAAAAACCUAAAUGCAAUUUGCUAAUGGAAACAACACACUGAUGAGGUCAUCAAGGGAAAUUCAUAAUUUGCUGACCGAUACAACUAACCUGAAGCAUUUUCGGAGCACAAAAUAGUGAAAAGGUGAUAAAGCUUUAAUUUGUAAGAGACAUAGUUAAAUACUGUUGUGUUUAGGAGCCAUAAAGCUUUCAGUGUUUGGGGUAUAGUUAAUAAAGAUGUAUGAAGGAACAACGCAAACCCUAACCCAUAAAAAGCAAUCAAAUUAUUGAGAUCUUUAAAUAAAAGGCUUUUUAUUUCAUUUUGUAGAAAUGCUAUUUGGAUAUACAAAUGAAAUUAAUAAAACAUGAGUUUGGAAAUGUCAA